UUUUUUCCUUUGUUCUUCUUUUCGGUUUUCCUUUUCUUCUCCCUAAAUCCCCCAAAUGAACCCUAGCCACCACCUUUAUAGUUGUUGGUCUACAGCUCCGAUCGGGCACCAUCAGAACACUCCCCUCCAUCACCUCUCUUCAAACCGCCGACUAAUCUCCUUCUUCACUUUCCUCCUCCUCCUCUUCUUCUUCUUCUUCUUCUUUUUUUUCUCUCCUCCUAGUUCUGCAAAACGUAAAAUACCACAAAAUUUGAUUUAAUACUAAUAAACUCCAUGAAGUUCACUGGAAAUUGCCAUGGAGCUCCAAUUUAUGCAGCUCAAAAGUCUAAUUUUUACUGCCAUUUUUAUAGUGCAGAGAGCUUUAAGGAAGAGAAAAGAAAAAAGUA
rnacentral:lncRNA from 1 species